UACGGAGGGGACUAGCGUUGUUCGGAAUUACUGGGCGUAAAGCGCACGUAGGCGGCUUUGUAAGUUAGAGGUGAAAGCCCAGGGCUUAACCCUGGAAUUGCCUUUAAGACUGCAUCGCUAGAAUCGUGGAGAGGUAAGUGGAAUUCCGAGUGUAGAGGUGAAAUUCGUAGAUAUUCGGAAGAACACCAGUGGCGAAGGCGACUUACUGGACACGUAUUGACGCUGAGGUGCGAAAGCGUGGGGAGCAAACAGG
rnacentral:rRNA from 1 species